GACGAACGCUGGCGGCGUGCCUAACACAUGCAAGUCGAACGGGGUUAAUUUCUUCGGAGAUUAACUUAGUGGCGAACGGGUGAGUAACGCGUGAGAAACCUGCCUUUCAGUGGGGGACAACAGUUGGAAACGACUGCUAAUACCGCAUAAUGUAUUUUGGGGGCAUCCCUUGAAUACCAAAGCUUUAUGUGCUGAAAGAUGGUCUCGCGUCUGAUUAGCUAGUUGGUGGGGUAACGGCCCACCAAGGCGACGAUCAGUAGCCGGUCUGAGAGGAUGAACGGCCACAUUGGGACUGAGAUACGGCCCAGACUCCUACGGGAGGCAGCAGUGGGGAAUAUUGGGCAAUGGGGGAAACCCUGACCCAGCAACGCCGCGUGAAGGAAGAAGGUCUUCGGAUUGUAAACUUCUGUUUUUAGUGAAGAACAAAUGACGGUAGCUAAAGAGGAAGCCACGGCUAACUACGUG
rnacentral:rRNA from 1 species